GGGUUGUGAGGUUAAGCGACUAAGCGUACACGGUGGAUGCCCUGGCAGUCAGAGGCGAUGAAGGGCGUGCUAAUCUGCGAUAAGCGCCGGUAAGGUGAUAUGAACCGUUAUAACCGGCGAUACCCGAAUGGGGAAACCCAGUGUGAUUCGUCACACUAUCAUUAACUGAAUCCAUAGGUUAAUGAGGCGAACCGGGGGAACUGAAACAUCUAAGUACCCCGAGGAAAAGAAAUCAACCGAGAUUCCCCCAGUAGCGGCGAGCGAACGGGGAGGAGCCCAGAGCCUGAAUCAGCAUGUGUGUUAGUGGAAGCGUCUGGAAAGGCGCGCGAUACAGGGUGACAGCCC
rnacentral:rRNA from 2 species